rnacentral:misc_RNA from 1 species
GUUUAAAAUUAAAAUGAAAGAGAGAAGAGUUUGACACACACAAAGUGAACGAUUUUUACUUUAUUACUUACAAAAGUUCAAAUAAAUUCCAUGACCGUUCAUCAUCAUGAUCGCUUUAAAUUCCAAUGGUUCGGCACCCAUGGCUCGUCUGAGGAGAAGGAUUAUAAGAAGCACGCAGGCUAGUGAAGUGGGGUGGACAACCAUAGGCAACGAAUGAAGACUAACGUACUGCUACACGACACACAGACAGAAUGGCAGUGGAAUGGAGGAGUGGAGGGAGCUGAAGACGAAGAGGAGAGAGGAGAGAGAAAGAAAAAGGGGAGAAGCCGGUAUAGGCAACCGGUAAAGGCACGUUUUUAGUAAAGCAUCGUAAAACGCCGGCGAUUCUUGUUUGCUUCGAGUUCUGCUCGAUCGUUCGGUGUAAUACACCAAGUUUCAUUGACCUCCCGUUGCGUUUCUUUUUAUUAUAGCGCGGGUUUUAUUGUACAAUAUUACUGGCAUAAUUCGUCACCAAGUAGCGAAAACGAAAUUUCACAGUAUUACGCAGUACACAGACCAAUUACACGCGUAUCGUUCCGUGUUGAGAGAGUUGAGCCAAUUGCGUGAAACAAAUAAUCAGGGCCAAUUAAGUGUGCGGGCGCAAUGACUUCCGCGUACGAAACGACGACAGAACGCGAGAAGCAGAAGGCAACAAGUCCGCACGAUACUGCGCGAGUAUUUUUCAACCCGGAUGCUGCCUCUGAUAUGGAGGAGACGUCGUCGUCGUCUCGAGCAAGUCUCGCAACAGGUGACUCGUCUUUCGAAGAAUCCACGCUUUUUUCUUCUGUAGAAGUCAGCGUUCUGUCUGCGGGUGAAUCAUUCGACGGGGAUCUGGGAAUGUUUGAGAAAGAAAAAGAAAAUAAGGACGAAGAAAGCGUCAGCGUCUCUGUAAAUUUGGUAAAUGAUAUUUCACAAAUGAAUAGAUCUAAAAACGGGGAAUUGUCCUUUGAAGAUAAUGAGAGGCAUAUGGAAAAGAAAUUGAUUUUAUUGGCGGAUUAUAUCGCAUCGGAAAGCGCAUCCACGUGCAGUGUAAGAAGAGAGCAGGACAAGGACCAGCAUAAUGAAGCUCCAAGUCGAAGCAUACUGAAGAUCCAAGUGCAGGAACAACGUGACAGUAGUGUUCACUCUGAGGAGAAAUUCCGAGAUUCCGCGAUGGAAGACGCUGUGCAAGUUUGUUGCGAGAAUGUGGUAGAAAUUUGCCUGAACACACAUGCGGAUGAGAAACAAGAUGAAUUUGAAAGGGAAAUUAUCAGCCGACAGGAUAGUGACUCAUUUUAUGAUGCGGUACGAUCGGGAAACGCCAAGCGCGUCUCGAUGUUGAUCGCCAACGGUUGCGUGCAAAAUCUGGACGAACCGGAUUGGAACGUAUCGGGCGAUCCACCCUUAUUGAUGGCAGCAACGAAUCAUUGCCUUCCUGUGUUGAGUGCGCUACUAGCAAAUGGAUGCGAUCCAGCUGUGCGUUCACCGCGGGGUGAGACGGCACUUCACAGAGUAAUUCUGAAUGGCGGACCAGGUAACGUGUUGAAAUUCGUAGAGGACCUCUUGAAAUACAACUGUCCGCCAGGCGUCAAAGAGGCCGGCAGUGGAUCGACUGCAUUGCACGUGCUGUCUCGUCAAUUGGCUCACACGUCGCUGAAAUCCCUUCGUCAUAAUUUCGAUGCGGCUCUGAAGACGCUAGAAUUAUUGGCGAAAGCAGGACCCGUUAACGCUAAGGAUCAUCAAGGUCGAAGUGCCUUGCACAUUUUAGCAUCAUCAACUAUCUUUGAUAACAAUCACAGGACCGAUAUCGAGUCGUUGAUUGGUACGCUUCUAGCCGCUGGCGCGGAUACUGCGUUGAAGAAUGAUCGCGGAGAGACCGCUUUGCACGAGAGUUUGGAGUGCGGUGCGUUAAACACAGCGACAUUAUUGAUACAACACACGCCAACAGGCAUCGCGUCGCGAUACGGUGAAACCCCGUUGCAUAUAGCGUCGCGAAAAAAUCAUGUCGAUAUGGUGACGAAGCUACUUGAGCAUGGUGAGGAUCCUGGCACGCAGGACGCCGGCGGGAAUACUCCAUUGCACCUCGCAUCAGCAAGAGGAUUUCAUCAGACGGUAUCAUUGUUGGUCACCUCACCCUUAGCACAAUUGGAGAAGGUCAACAUUGAUGGUCUGACGGCGUUGCAAGUUGCCGCCGAGAGUGGAUUCGCUAACGCCGUCAAGAUACUGUUGAAGGCUGGUGCCGAUCCCACCCAAACCAUGCAUUAUUGUGCGACCAUUCUGCGUCGUCAUCCCGACAUCUCGCUCUUAAUCGAUCACGAAUUGACCAGACGUCGACAACUUGCCGCCUGAUUUGUCUGUUGACAUUUUUCCUACUGACAUCCGGCAAUUUGUUAAAGAUGGCUAAAUAUUACUACGGAUAAAGUGCAAUUAUCACGCUUGUUGCUCAAUGUUACAAUACAAAUUUGAUACAUGCAGAAAUUAUAUAGGACAAAACUUUUUUGACUUCGAGAGAGACACAUAAGAUGGUACGAUUGGUUUAAUCUUGGGUGGUGUUGUCAAGGUCAAGGCAAGGUCACUUUGAAUUUUUUUAAUGAGAUCCCCAGUUUUUCUUUACAUAUUCUUAAUUCUUAUAGCUUAUCUCAAGAGCUUUUCAGCUACUGUAAUAAACUAUUGUUUCAUUAAGUACUUUUCGAGUUAAGGCUUGAAAGUUACAAUACGUAGUCGACAUUAACAUUAAGAUGGAAUCACACGAUGCUCGAUUUCUUGAAUGAGAAAUUAUGCAUGCAUGGUGCACCCAGAUGUUCUUUUAUCCUUAUUUAACAUUCGCGAACAACAAGGAUGAAACGAUAUCUAGGUGCAUCCUUGCGGACGACUAUUCUGAACGCAGUCCUGCUAUGCUUGCUUUUGCGUUUCCGAGUUACGCAUGAAGUGCAUAGUGCAUCAUCCAUUCUUGUUCACCAAAUAAUAAAAAAGAAUAAAACGGUACAUGCGCUUCAUGCGUAAUUCGGAACGCAUCCUUUGAUGUAUACAGUCUGACAUUUGACAAAUAACUAUGAAAUUAGCAAUUGUUUCUUUUGAUUGGUGCAUGCAAGAAAAUGAACUAUGAUAAAUAAUCCAUAUAUAUAUAUAUAUAUAAUAAAUACAAAAAUCAUGUAUAUGCAGCAUGCAGCGCUCCAAGCAUGAACGAAUUCUAGCAUACAUCAGAGCAGGCAUGACUGUAUGAGAUCGAGCAUCAUGUGAUGAGCUGAAUAACAUUUGUCAAGAUCAAGAUUGGACCAUUGGAGGUUAUACCUCUUAUUUUCAUUUUUAUGUAAAAAUAAAUUUUUAGUGCAAAAAUGAAAAUAAAAAUAAGAACAAUCUCCAAUGACUUCCGAGAUACUUGAGUGGAUCCUUUAAAAUGGGACACUACAUAUGUACAAUCAUAAUAUACAAUCGUUGCUAUAAAUCUCAUUGUGGAUCAAAGUGCACUUAAAUGAAAAGUAAAAAAUUAAAUUCUAAAGUAAAUAUCGAAUGUAGCCUUAUGUCAUAGUGCAAACAUUCGCUCUUCUUUGCAUCGAUUGACGCACCUACCAAAAGAUUCCACAGGCGUAUUUCGAAUAAUUUUGUACUGAGCCUCUAUGAUUUCUAAGAUGUUGAACAUUCUGAACAGGAGUGGUGUACCAAAGAGUUUAAUUUUUUGCUUUUCAUUUUAUUGUAUUUGAUCAAAUAAAAUAACUUUGUUAUUUA